UUUAGUUCGUUCUUUUCGUUU
rnacentral:snRNA from 1 species